UACAGAGGUCUCAAGCGUUGUUCGGAUUCAUUGGGCGUAAAGGGUGCGUAGGCGGCGCGGUAAGUUGGGUGUGAAAUCUCGGGGCUUAACUCCGAAACUGCAUUCGAUACUGCCGUGCUUGAGGACUGGAGAGGAGACUGGAAUUUACGGUGUAGCGGUGAAAUGCGUAGAUAUCGUAAGGAAGACCAGUGGCGAAGGCGGGUCUCUGGACAGUUCCUGACGCUGAGGCACGAAGGCCAGGGGAGCAAACGGG
rnacentral:rRNA from 1 species